rnacentral:rRNA from 1 species
GACGAACGCUGGCGGCGUGCUUAACACAUGCAAGUCGAACGAUGAAGCCUUCGGGUGGAUUAGUGGCGAACGGGUGAGUAACACGUGGGCAAUCUGCCCUGUACUUUGGGAUAAGCCUUGGAAACGAGGUCUAAUACCGGAUAUGACUGCGCAUCGCAUGGUGUGUGGUGGAAAGCUCCGGCGGUACAGGAUGAGCCCGCGGCCUAUCAGCUUGUUGGUGGGGUAAUGGCCUACCAAGGCGACGACGGGUAGCCGGCCUGAGAGGGUGACCGGCCACACUGGGACUGAGACACGGCCCAGACUCCUACGGGAGGCAGCAGUGGGGAAUAUUGCACAAUGGGCGCAAGCCUGAUGCAGCGACGCCGCGUGAGGGAUGACGGCCUUCGGGUUGUAAACCUCUUUCGCCAGGGACGAAGCGCAAGUGACGGUACCUGGAUAAGAAGCACCGGCUAACUACGUGCCAGCAGCCGCCGUAAAAC